rnacentral:rRNA from 1 species
AUUGAACGCUGGCGGCAGGCCUAACACAUGCAAGUCGAGCGGAUGAAGGGAGCUUGCUCCUGGAUUCAGCGGCGGACGGGUGAGUAAUGCCUAGGAAUCUGCCUGGUAGUGGGGGAUAACGUCCGGAAACGGGCGCUAAUACCGCAUACGUCCUGAGGGAGAAAGUGGGGGAUCUUCGGACCUCACGCUAUCAGAUGAGCCUAGGUCGGAUUAGCUAGUUGGUGGGGUAAAGGCCUACCAAGGCGACGAUCCGUAACUGGUCUGAGAGGAUGAUCAGUCACACUGGAACUGAGACACGGUCCAGACUCCUACGGGAGGCAGCAGUGGGGAAUAUUGGACAAUGGGCGAAAGCCUGAUCCAGCCACGCCGCGUGUGUGAAGAAGGUCUUCGGAUUGUAAAGCACUUUAAGUUGGGAGGAAGGGCAGUAAGUUAAUACCUUGCUGUUUUGACGUUACCAACAGAAUAGGCACCGGCUAACUUCGUG